UGGGGAAUAUUGCACAAUGGGCGGAAGCCUGAUGCAGCGACGCCGCGUGAGGGAUGACGGCCUUCGGGUUGUAAACCUCUUUCAGCAGGGACGAAGCGUGAGUGACGGUACCUGCAGAAGAAGCGCCGGCCAACUACGUGCCAGCAGCCGCGGUAAGACGUAGGGCGCGAGCGUUGUCCGGAUUUAUUGGGCGUAAAGAGCUCGUAGGCGGUUUGUCGCGUCGAAUGUGAAAUCUCAGGGCUCAACUCUGACAUUGCAUUCGAUACGGGCAGGCUAGAGUUCGGUAGGGGAGACUGGAAUUCCUGGUGUAGCGGUGAAAUGCGCAGAUAUCAGGAGGAACACCGGUGGCGAAGGCGGGUCUCUGGGCCGAUACUGACGCUGAGGAGCGAAAGCGUGGGGAGCGAACAGGAUUAGAUACCCCGGUAGUCC
rnacentral:rRNA from 1 species